GGUGAUAUAGUGAGACUGUCUCAAAAAAAUUACAAAUAUAUGUGUACUUGUGUGUGUGUGUGUGUGUGUGUAUAUAUAUAUAUACACACAUAUAUAUAUCCAUGUUUG
rnacentral:miRNA from 1 species